GUAGGAGUAUCUGUGCAACAUUUGACCACAGAAGGCAGAACAGAGGUACAGCAACAUAGAUCGCCGCAAUGACGUCACUAGUGGAACAAGACACAGGUGUGCUCCUACCUGCAGGCCAUAUACAUUGAACCCAGAGAAGACAGAGAGUAGAAGGUACAGGUCUUACUGAAGGCAAGCUGCACACAAACUACAUCUGACUGUAUUCGCAGUGCUGACGAUCACAGGCCUUUCCCCUGAGUCCCUGAGCUAGGAGUAUUAUGAGGACACCUGGACAGUCAACAGUCUGCAGCUUCACCUGUAUAAGAGUAUUGAACAUCGCUCAGGCGGUCUGCAGUCUGGAGCCCCGGCAGAAGAAGCGCUGCUCUUUCAGCACACAGCCGGAGAGACGGUGGGUAACCUCGGACCGCAAGGUGAGUCCGGCUGCUUCUCUUCUACUGCUGCUUGAAAACAGGAGAGAAAGCGUUUCACGUUUAAAUACCUUUAGUCAAGUUUCAGCCUCUCGCCAUAGCCUAUACAAAGGUAGCACCACUUUAUGAAGGCACAAAUAAGCGGUGUUAAGCAGUCAGUAAAAAACAGGCUCCAUUUCCCCGUGGUAAUUUUCCCCACCCUCGGUUUAAGGAGCUGUGGGCGCACUCCUAAUACGAUAUUGCUUCUCCAUAUUGGUCCUGAGAUUUCUCCAAGUACAAGACGAGGCUUAUCUUCAAGUUUAUAGAGGGGCUCGAUAAGCAAAGUGCAGACCAGCCGGAUUCUCUCACCUUCGAAUUCGCCGCUCAUCUCCCCAGUUUCACGCUACACCGGAGCUCUGCGCUUCGGCCAUCAGACGGUUGUAGAGGACAGGAAGGCUGGGGAGCUGGAGAGAAGAAACUGCAUUAGAUAAGAGCCCUGUCGAAACACGAGUAACGGACCUGACCAAGCAUUACAAAUAUACGUAGCAAGAUUAAGGAGUAGCAAAAACGAUACGUUGUAAUUCGCCCCCCUGCUAGCGGUACGCAAAUUGUUGGUUUAUUUUCAGUUCAGUGUUCUUUGAAAGCUCGAAUGAACUUUCCAAAAUCCAGUAGAGUUGCUCUCUUAAUUACUAUGAAGAUCAGAUUACUUUUCUCUCAUUUACUUUUGAGCUAUUCCUUUUCUAAUAAAAAGCGACUUAGUCCGAUCUUAUUUUCCUUCAGGUGCAAAACCACUAUAUAAAGCUAAGGACGCCAUGCAGCUACCAGAACGUUUUUAAAGGAGACCAAUUGACGGCUGAUACGAGAUGAAUCACACCUGGCUUCUGGCUUUUAAUUAAUUAGAAACGUCUAAAACCCGGACUGGAUUCUGGAGUUGGCCGUCUCCGCUUUGGAAAUGGUCCUUCCCACGCAAAUAAUUUGGAGUACAAUCCCACUCCACAUUUUCAACUGACCCGCUGAUAAAGUAACUUUAUUCAACUUUAAUUGAACAUUUAAGAUUUGUUUUCAACUCAAUUCAAAAUACUUUAUUCUUCCCCAGGGAUUCAGCUGGUGAAUAGUAAAAGGUUAGAAAUUAGCGUGAUCCUUGCGUUAGAAACAGUUUUAGAAUUCACGUCUUUUAACAGUAAGAAUUCAACUGCUACUGUCUGACAGUCAAUCUCACCUGUGAUUACUGUACUGUACAUCACUCAUUGACAGUGGUUCCUCAUCACUGUAAACUGUGUAUAUCCCUGUUUAUACCUGUGUAUAGAAUUUUGAUGACUUUUUUAAUUAAUCAAAAUAGUGCCAGCCGUCUGAUAUUCAUAGAAAACAUUUUCUAACCACCUGCACUCUUUUAGCUUGAAUACAGUAACUCUCUUAUCUUAUAGGAUGUUGAAUAUUAUCUUAUUAUAUAUAAUAAGAGUGAUGUGAUUAUCCACUGAUCGCAAAACUAGUUAUUACAUCCUUAUCACUAUUCUGUUUUCUAUGCAUACACUCGUUCCCAUUCUAUUUACGUGCAUAGUUUCUUAUUUUUUCAUCUUUCACCUUAGGAACUAAACUUAGAUAUGGAACCUUGUCAAACGCCCAUGGAAAUAUAAACAGAUCAUGUCGUGACAACUAUUAGUAUAAAGGAACUGAAGGGAUACUCUACCCGAACACCAGCCGGGGCAUAAAAACAUUGAGAACAAUUAAAUCGUUCAUAUAGUUUUCUAAAAUGUUAUCUUUAAAAUCAUUUCAGAUAUUAAAAAAAAA
rnacentral:lncRNA from 1 species